rnacentral:rRNA from 1 species
GAUGAACGCUGACAGAAUGCUUAACACAUGCAAGUCAACUUGAACUUCGGUUUGGGUGGCUGACGGGUGAGUAACGCGUAAAGAACUUGCCUCACAGCUAGGGACAACAUUUGUAAACGAAUGCUAAUACCUGAUAUUAUGAUUAUAUGGCAUCGUAUAAUUAUGAAAUCUAUAUGCGCUGUGAUAGAGCUUUGCGUCCCAUUAGCUAGUUGGAGAGGUAACAGCUCACCAAGGCGAUGAUGGGUAGCCGGCCUGAGAGGGUGAUCGGCCACAAGGGGACGGAGACACGGCCCUUACGACUACGGGAGGCAGCAGUGGGGAAUAUUGGUCAACGGACCGAGAGUCUGAUACAGCAAUUCUGUGUGCACGAUGAAGUUUUUCGGAAUGUAAAGUGCUUUCAGUUGGGAAGCAAAAAAUGACGGUACCAACAGAAGAAGUGACGGCUAAAUACGUG